rnacentral:rRNA from 1 species
AUGAAAAAUUCGUGCCAGGGCUGCAAGAGAUACUGGAACCAUCUACAUGGGAAGGUCACUCGUUUCGUCAGGCGGAUGAGCAAAAGUUCAAGACAUUGCAUGGUCAUGCCAGAGAGGUUUGCAAACCAUUUUUCAGGGAAAAUGUCACGGAGCGUCAAACUAGAAGGCCCUAAUUGUAUUCUGUAUGAUGUUGGAGUUACUGAGCACAGGAAUAGAAAAGUCCUCCAAUCUGGAUGGGAGGUGUUUGUUGAUGCCAAUGACAUAGUAGAGAAAGACUCGUUGAUGUUCCGAUACCGUGGAAGUUCUCGCUUCAAGGUUGCGGUCUUUGAUUCUAGUGGUUGUGAGAAAACUGUGUCCUGUUUUGGCAUAGGGAGCACUAUGAGUGAUCAAGAACCGAUCACAAAUUCUACAGAAAUGUCAAGCAGUUCCAGUGGUCGUAAUACUCACUCGUCAGUGGAGGAUGGAUGCCAAAGUGAAAGCUCAGGACAUUGCAGAAAACUGGCAUGGACAGACGCAGCAUCGUCUCCAUCUGAGGAUUUGCCAGGAGAAGACAGUCCUUAUGAGCAUGAGUCUUCUGGAUCGGAUGAUGACACACUCCCAAAGAUGAUCUCAACAGUGCGUGUUAAGGAGGAACAAUAUUCUGAUGCAAGUGGAAGAUCAGACGGAUGCCAAAAUGGGAGCUCCAGUCAUAGUGGGAGUACUAGAAAGACAGCUGUUAUAUCCACUCCAUCUGCGGAGUCAGGACCUCCAAAGGAUAAGUAUGUGUUGUCAAGUAGGAGUAAUUUGGCUGAUGCACAAAAAGAGAAAAUAGAUAAGCUUCUCCAGGACAUUCAAUCCAGAACCCUUGCAUUCGUGGCUAUCAUGAGGAAGUCCAAUGUCCAACCACCGUAUCCUUCUUUGACCAUCACGAAGGAAUACGCAGUUGCACACUUUCCCCAUGAAAGUGCAUCUGUCAUACUUCAGAGGCCGGGCGAGAACAAAAGGUGGUACCCCAGGUUCUACGAGGGGAAUGAUGGUAUUCACAAGAUUAGGGGGGAGUGGUUAGACUUUGUUUGUGACAAUAGUGUGGAGGAGGGAGAUAUCUGCAUCUUUGUACCAGCAAAGGGUGGGGGAAGGUUCACAUUUACCGUUCAUCUACUUCGCGCAGAAAGCAAGGCGCACGCAGGUCAUUUUGUGCCGCCCUACAUGCUGUCACAAAUGAGCUUUCUAUCUCCAGUGCAACAGAGCAUAGUUGAAGAUAAAGCGGAAGCCAUCCAACUCGAAGCCCAUCUGUAUGUGGCAAUCAUGAACAAAACCAAUGUUGGUGUGAAAGGGCAUUACAUCCUGGAGUUUGGUGCAAAAUAUGCUGCUGUGUAUCUUCCAAAGGAAGAGCGAACUAUUUUGCUCCAGCGUAAGGGGAAGGAAUGGCAAACUCAGAUGCAUAUUCGGAAUGGUAGGAGACUUGUCCUUGAAGGAGGUUGGCGCAAAUUUGUCAGUGACAACCGUCUGCGAGUUGGUGAUAUCUGUCUGUUUGAGCUGAAGCGGAACCGGAGGAAGCUUACCAUGAUUGUCCAUAUCAUCUCCCGUGAUCAGUGUUAG